rnacentral:rRNA from 1 species
CGGAGGGUGCAAGCGUUAUCCGGAUUCACUGGGUUUAAAGGUGCGUAGGUGGGCUGAUAAGUCAGUGGUGAAAUCUCUAGGCUUAACCUGGAAACUGCCAUUGAUACUAUCGGUCUUGAAUCUCGCGUAGGUAAGCGGAAUAUGUCAUGUAGCGGUGAAAUGCUUAGAUAUGACAUAGAACACCAAUUGCGAAGGCAGCUUACUUCACGAGUAUUGACACUGAGGCACGAAAGCGUGGGGAGCAAACAGGAUUAGAUACCCUGGUAGUCCACGCCCUAAACGAUGGAUACUCGACAUCAGCGAUACACUGUUGGUGUCUGAGCGAAAGCAUUAAGUAUCCCACCUGGGAAGUACGACCGCAAGGUUG